rnacentral:lncRNA from 1 species
CUUUCUGGUUGAGAUUGACGCGAUUGAGGUUUUCUUCUGACACUUCUUGUCUUUUUAAUGCAGAAUUCACGGAUUCAGAUCCAGAAGACGCCUUUAGCUUCUCUUCAGAUCAGCUGGUGAAGCAAGUUUCUCUGGCGUCUGAUCCUCUAACGGGAUCGAGCCGUCAUCUGUCCUGUCGCAGCCUCUCAGCCGCCUCCACUCCUCUCGCUGAGUCUGUUUAUCAACCAGAACCACCCUCCCCGGUCUCAAGGCAGGGGAUCGAUUCUGCUGUGGACGAACCUCAAACGAGCAGCAGGAGCUUUGGAAAAGCAGAUGUCGACCCAGAAACACCUGUAGAAGCUUCUCUUGGAACCUGUGCAACCCCUUCUUCCACCGCCCCCUGCCUUAGUCCAGAGAGGACCACUCCCUAUUCCAGACUAGAGAUGACCUUUUCUCCUUCAGGAUCUCGUCUGGGGUCCCACCGCUGGCCCGUCCUGCCCCCCAUCAGAGGACAUUCAUCAUCGUCCUCCUCAUCCUCAUCUCAUUGCUCUGGGUUGAGCUGCAGCAUGUCCCACAUUUUUGAUGACCUGGAGGCCAUUGCUCCUCCGUCCCCGUCCUGUCUUUCUCUGGAUGAGCCUUCAGACUCCUCUCGGUCUCUUUCACCCAACACAGAACUGUCUCCGGGCCUCGCAGCACUCACAGUGGGUUGUGACUCCGGAGAUUUGGGUUCUCUUUCCCGGGUGCAGCUCCUCCUCCUGGACCGACCAGUACCAGACACUCAUCUGAACCCGUCUGAGUUGGAGGAGGGGUUUUCCCCUUUGCCAGAUUGGUGUGAUCCAAUAGUGCCGUACGAUUACACAGAUGAGGGAAAUCCCGCUGAGGAGGAGCCCAAUUAUCAAGGAAAAGAGGACCGGGAUCUGUUUUCGGGCAGAGAGCAAAGGAGGCCCAAGAGUCCUGAAGGCAGAGCUGGACAGAGAGACCGGCAGAUGGAGGAGAGGGAAACAAAGGCGUGGAGCAUGCUCUCAAAACUGCAGGAAAACACGCCUCAGCAGAGCAGCAGUAGCAGAAGCCGCUCCAACUUUGAGGACUGUGAGUUUGGGAGCCUUUUGCCCCUUAAGAUGCAGAGGGAAAAAAGUUUAGCGCAAACUGCACGAAAACACAGCAUAAGACGAUGUUACAUUAGAGCUCUGUUGUCCUUUUUGUCCCCAUUCGUGAACAAAUCCAGAUAUUCUAUGUGACCUUGCGUUUGGUCUGUAUUCAGACUGCCGUCAACCGGAGAUUUCUGCUGUGGACCAAAGCUUGUAAACAAAACCACAUGACUAAAAAUCUAUUCACUCACUGGUCAGGAAUUAAGAGGGGGGGGGGGGGGGGCAAAGCAACUUAAGGCAGAAAUUAUGGAAG